AUCACCAUUAAAAAGUGAUAUAUUAUAUGAAAAUGAUCCAAUUAUACAUAUAAUAAAUGAUCAUAAUUAUUCCGCGACAUAUGAAAUAUUAAAAAGAAAAAUUAUUUACCAAGAGGAGCUCAAAAAGAGGAAAAAAUAAAAUAAUCAAUUUACAAACAAUAAUCACUUCACUAAAAGAUGAAAAUUUGUUAUCAGAUGAUGUUGAAAAUAUUAUAGACAGGCAAUUUACAGGGACAUCUUCUAUAUUCCUUAAAACACAUAUACACAGUGGAGGCAUCUCAAACCCACAAAAAAAAUAUACAAGCUUACAGAUAUCUCAAAUCACACUUUUGUAUGCCUCCGGAAUCCACAUUAAGGGCAUGGAGUCGCAAGAUUGAAAUCAUGCCAGGUUUUCUUUCUAUUUCAUUUACUUAAAUUAAAAGCUACCAAAAAAAAUCAGAAAAGCAGUUGUAUUGUGUACUUAGCCUUGAUGAAAUGCAUAUUAAAACUCAAAUAGAUUAUGACCCCCACAAAGCAGAAUAUCAUGGUUAUGUUGAUUUAGGUGAUGGGACAAAAUCAACAAAAGAAGAUAAAUCUUGUCCAGAAGCAACAAAGGCACUGUUUCUUAUGGCUACCUGUCUUAAUAGCAGCUGAUAAUAGAUUGGAAGCAUAUACAAAAUUUACAUAAAUUGCAGGAGUGCGAAGGUUUACGUGCUGCAAAUAAAUUGCGCAAAGCACAUAUUGCUUUCCACAAACAAAAAAUGAAAGUAUUCGAUCUGCUGUUCGCAUUUCAUUAAUGGCGAAAUUGGAUACUACAAUUACAGGAAAUUGCAUUUCCUUAGAUAAUACUCAAUUAAUAUGUUCAAAUUUUCAAAAUAAUCAUGACGAUGAUUUUAAUUCUAUCAAAACUAUUUCAAAUCCAAUAAUACCCCAGGCAUUAUCUUAUUAUUUAAGCCAAACAAAUCCUCAUAUCCCGAAAUUAUCAUUAUAUUUAGAUAAUUUAACAACUUAUAUUUUGGGAUAUAUAGUACAACAACUUAUUAAAGAAAAAAAGGUACGAUGUGAUGUUUGCAUUAAUGCAAUGGUCAGUGAUUCAUAUAUUGAUAAUAAUAUAAAUAAUAUGCUCAUAAAUUUUAAAAAUAAUGGGGGGUUAGUGAUUCCUUCUUCUAGUAUGUCAUGCAGAAUUUGUGAAAGUUCAUUUAGAACUUAUCAAAAUGAUAUUAAACGUAAAAAUAUUAUUAAAAAAAUGGAAGUGUUGGUUUUUUCCACAAUUAUUGGUACAAAUAUUUUUAUUGAUCUUACUGAACAUAUUAAUGAUGAGAUUGGUUACAGCCAUUUUCAAAUUCUUGUAAAAUUAAUUGUUCAAAGAUAUUUAAAUAUUAGAUUUUUUCAUUUUGCUGACUUGAGAAACCAGGAAUUGAGAACUGGUAUGAGGCAAAAUCUUACAAAAGCAAUACAAUUUAAUAAUCAUUAAGUCAUGUGAUGAUAGAAUCAAAAAGGAUGAAUGUUUAUAAUCAAAGAUAAUAUGAAUGUGAAUCAUCACAUUAUUAAAAAUACAUUUUGUUUUUUAAAGUGUACACAUUUAUAUUUUUAUAUAUUUUGUAUAAAUCUUAUUUAAAUGAUUUAUAUAAUAAUUUAUAUUCAUGCAAAAAAUGUUAUUAUUACACUAUGUUUUUAUUGAAAA